AUGAGGGUAUUCGUGCGUGGAUGGCAGCUCAGGAUCAGCCUCAUGAAAAUCUUAUAUUCCCUGAGGAGGUUCUGCCACGUGGAAACGCUCUUUAAUGGAACUUUCGUUUUAGCUGGUCGUGACCAAGAAACCACCGGCUUUGCUUGGUGGGCUGGGAAUGCCAGACUUAUCAAUUUGUUCGGUAAACUGCUUGGAGCUCAUGUAGCUCAUGCUAGAUUAAUCGUAUUCUGGGCUAGAGCAAUGAACCUAUUUGAAGUGGCCCAUUUCGUACAAGAAAAGCCCAUGUAUGAACAAGGGUUGAUUUUACUUCCACAGUUAGCUACUCUAGGUUGGGGAGUAGGGCCAGGGGGGAAGUUCUAG
rnacentral:rRNA from 1 species